rnacentral:lncRNA from 1 species
CGCCGGUUGAAAGCGCGUGUCUGCGUCGGGUUCUGUUGGAGUGCGUUCGGUGCGCCGUGGGUCCGCGCUGCUUCCACCCAACUUCCUGUUAGUUUCUCUCCUGUCACAAUGGCAUGAUCUCGGCUCACUGCGACCUCUGCUUCCUGGGUUCAAGGAUUCUCCUGCCUCAGCCUCCCAAGUAGCUGGGAUUACAGAUGACCGCCGUGUGGUAAACUGAUGAACCCCGACCCUGAUG